UUUCUUCACCUCGUCAUUGCUGUGAUUCAGACAAUCUCUGAGUUUGAAAAGGAGAUAGAGCUACUUCAGACACAGAAGAUAGACGUGGAAAAACAUGUGCAGUCGCAAAAGCGGGAAAUGAGAGAAAAGAUGUCGGAGAUCACCAAGCAACUUCUCGAAAGCUAUGACAUUGCAGACGUGAGAAGCAGGCUGUCUGUGGAAGAUUUGGAACAUUUAAAUGAGGAUGGAGAACUUUGGUUUGCUUAUGAAGGACUAAAGAAAGCAACCCGGUAAGGAAUUCCCCCAGGGUUUCUUUUUCCC